GAUGAACGCUGGCGGUAUGCUUAACACAUGCAAGUCGAACGGAGUGCUUCGGCACUUAGUGGCGGACGGGUGAGUAACGCGUGAGAAUCUGGCUUCGGGUUCGGGACAACAGUGGGAAACUGCUGCUAAUACCGGAUGUGCCUAAGGGUAAAAGAUUAAUUGCCCGAAGAUGAGCUCGCGUCCGAUUAGCUAGUUGGUGUGGUAAGAGCGCGCCAAGGCGUCGAUCGGUAGCUGGUCUGAGAGGACGAUCAGCCACACUGGGACUGAGACACGGCCCAGACUCCUACGGGAGGCAGCAGUGGGGAAUUUUCCGCAAUGGGCGAAAGCCUGACGGAGCAAUACCGCGUGAGGGAGGAAGGCUCUUGGGUUGUAAACCUCUUUUCUCAGGGAAGAAAAAAAUGACGGUACCUGAGGAAUCAGCAUCGGCUAACUCCGUGCCAGCAGCCGCAGUAACAC
rnacentral:rRNA from 1 species